rnacentral:rRNA from 1 species
GUUAUAUGGUCAAGCGACUAAGCGCAUACGGUGGAUGCCUUGGCAGUUGGAGGCGAUGAAGGACGUGGAAGUCUGCGAAAAGCUCGGGGGAGCUGACAAACAAGCGUUAUAUCCCGAGAUGUCCGAAUGGGGAAACCCACCUAUCAUAAGAUAGGUAUCUUGUACUGAAUACAUAGGUACUUGAGGCGAACCCGGGGAACUGAAACAUCUAAGUACCCGGAGGAAAAGAAAUCAACCGAGAUUCCCUAAGUAGCGGCGAGCGAACGGGGACUAGCCCUUAAGCUUCAUUUGUUUUAGUGGAAGGCUCUGGAAAGUGCCGCGAUACAGGGUGAUAGCCCCGUACACGAAAAGACAUUUAAAGUGAAAUCGAGUAGGUCGGAGCACGUGAAACUUUGACUGAAUAUGGGGGGACCAUCCUCCAAGGCUAAAUACUACCAACUGACCGAUAGUGAACCAGUACCGUGAGGGAAAGGCGAAAAGAACCCCGGAGAGGGGAGUGAAAUAGAUCCUGAAACCGUAUGCGUACAAGCAGUAGGAGCAGACUUGUUCUGUGACUGCGUACCUUUUGUAUAAUGGGUCAGCGACUUACAUUUAGUAGCAAGGUUAACCGAAUAGGGGAGCCGUAGAGAAAUCGAGUCUUAAUAGGGCGUUUAGUUGCUAGGUGUAGACCCGAAACCCGGCGAUCUAUCCAUGGCCAGGUUGAAGGUGCCGUAACAGGCACUGGAGGACCGAACCCACGUAUGUUGAAAAAUGCGGGGAUGAGCUGUGGAUCGGAGUGAAAGGCUAAUCAAGCCGGGAGAUAGCUGGUUCUCCUCGAAAGCUAUUUAGGUAGCGCGUCAUGUCUCACCCACGGGGGUAGAGCACUGUUUCGGCUAGGGGGUCAUCCCGACUUACCAACCCGAUGCAAACUCCGAAUACCGUGGAGUGCAAUCAUGGCAGACAGACGGCGGGUGCUAACGUCCGUCGUCAAAAGGGAAACAACCCAGACCGCCAGCUAAGGUCCCUAAUAUCAGUUAAGUGGGAAACGAUGUGGGAAGGCUAAGACAGCUAGGAGGUUGGCUUAGAAGCAGCCACCCUUUAAAGAAAGCGUAAUAGCUCACUAGUCGAGUCGGCCUGCGCGGAAGAUGUAACGGGGCUAAACUGAUAACCGAAGCUGCGGACGCGUGUUUACACGCGUGGUAGAGGAGCGUUCUGUAAGCCGUUGAAGGUGGAUCGAGAGGUCUGCUGGAGGUAUCAGAAGUGCGAAUGCUGACAUGAGUAACGAUAAGGGGUGUGAAAAACACCCCCGCCGGAAGACCAAGGUUUCCUGUCCCAUGCUAAUCAGGGCAGGGUUAGUCGGCACCUAAGGCGAGGGCGAAAGCCGUAGUCGAUGGAAAACAGGUUAAUAUUCCUGUACCUCAUAUUACUGCGAUGGAGGGACGGAGUAGGCUAGAUCAGACGGGCGAUGGUUGUCCCGAUCUAAGCGUGUAGGCUGAGGACUUAGGUAAAUCCGGGUCCUUAAGGCUGAGACGUGAUGGCGAGGCUCUCUUUUGAGCUGAGUGAUUGAUGCCAUGCUUCCAAGAAAAUCUUCUAAGCUUCAGGUAAUGUGAGACCGUACCCCAAACCGACACAGGUGGUCAGGUAGAGAAUACCAAGGCGCUUGAGAGAACUCGGGUGAAGGAACUAGGCAAAAUGGCACCGUAACUUCGGGAGAAGGUGCGCUGUUGACGGUGAUCGGACUUGCUCCGUAAGCUGUUGGCAGCCGAAGUGACCAGGCCGCUGCGACUGUUUAUUAAAAACACAGCACUCUGCAAACACGUAAGUGGACGUAUAGGGUGUGACGCCUGCCCGGUGCCGGAAGGUUAAUUGAUGGGGUUAGUCCUCGGACGAAGCUCUUGAUCGAAGCCCCGGUAAACGGCGGCCGUAACUAUAACGGUCCUAAGGUAGCGAAAUUCCUUGUCGGGUAAGUUCCGACCUGCACGAAUGGCGUAACGAUGGCGGCACUGUCUCCACCCGAGACUCAGUGAAAUUGAAAUUGCGGUUAAGAUGCCGUAUACCCGCGGCUAGACGGAAAGACCCCGUGAACCUUUACUACAGCUUGGCACUGAACUUUGAACCUAUUUGUGUAGGAUAGGUGGGAGGCUUUGAAGUGUAAUCGCCAGAUUGCAUGGAGCCGCCCUUGAAAUACCACCCUGGUAUGUUUGAGGUUCUAACCUUGGUCCGUUAUCCGGAUCGGGAACAGUGUCUGGUGGGUAGUUUGACUGGGGCGGUCUCCUCCCAAAGAGUAACGGAGGAGCACGAAGGUACCCUCGGCAUGGUCGGAAAUCAUGCUAUGAGUGCAAAGGCAUAAGGGUGCUUGACUGCGAGACAGACACGUCGAGCAGGUACGAAAGUAGGUCUUAGUGAUCCGGUGGUUCUGUAUGGAAGGGCCAUCGCUCAACGGAUAAAAGGUACUCCGGGGAUAACAGGCUGAUACCGCCCAAGAGUUCACAUCGACGGCGGUGUUUGGCACCUCGAUGUCGGCUCAUCACAUCCUGGGGCUGAAGCCGGUCCCAAGGGUAUGGCUGUUCGCCAUUUAAAGUGGUACGCGAGCUGGGUUUAGAACGUCGUGAGACAGUUCGGUCCCUAUCUGCCGUGGGCGUUGGAGAUUUGAGGAGAGCUGCUUCUAGUACGAGAGGACCGAAGUGGACGAACCUCUGGUGUUCGGGUUGUCACGCCAGUGGCAUUGCCCGGUAGCUACGUUCGGACAGGAUAACCGCUGAAAGCAUCUAAGCGGGAAGCCCCCUCCAAGAUUAGAUCUCCCUGGGAGUUUAACUCCCCUAAAGAGCCGUUGAAGACUACGACGUUGAUAGGCUGGGUGUGGAAGCGCUGUGAAGCGUUGAGCUAACCAGUACUAAUUGCUCGUGAGGCUUGACCAUAUAACAGAAGCG